rnacentral:rRNA from 1 species
UACGUAGGUGGCAAGCGUUGUCCGGAAUUACUGGGUGUAAAGGGAGCGCAGGCGGGAAGCCAAGUCAGCUGUGAAAACUACGGGCUUAACUUGUAGACUGCAGUUGAAACUGGUUUUCUUGAGUGAAGUAGAGGUUGGCGGAAUUCCAUGUGUAGCGGUGAAAUGCGUAGAUAUAUGGAGGAACACCGGUGGCGAAAGCGGCUCUCUGGCCUGUAACUGACACUGAGGCUCGAAAGCGUGGGGAGCAAACAGG